UUCUUAUCACGAGCGGUGGAGGGACUGGCCCUAUGAAACCCGGCAACCAGCAUUUUAUGCUAUGGUGCUAAAUCCUGCAGUUAAACUGAAAGAUAAGAG
rfam:Clostridium cadaveris strain NLAE-zl-G419 genome assembly, contig: Ga0070261_120